UCUCAUCGGCCACAGCAUCUCACUCCUUUGUUGUGUUCUGUUAAUUAGAAACAACUCACUAGGCAGCUCACAUUACCCCAGGGCAUGAAUACCAGAAAGCGGAAAUUUCUGAAUCUUGGUGGGUCUGCAGUGCUCAGCUGAGAGGGAGGCCGGAGUGUUAUGGGUGGAAGAGGCAGUAUUGUACAGCGGUAAAGCCUGGGUGUUAAAGUCGCAGAUCUGGACUGGACGCUCAAUUCUGACCACACAUCCUCCCGUCUGUGUCCCUGCUUCCUCUGUCCUCCUCUCCAGUGCGUUCUGCAUACACUCAUCAGUCUGAUCUUUUGAAACUAUAAAUUCACCCGACCCUUGACCUUGCCUAGUGGCUGGAGCAGAGGGCAGGGAUUCAAGAGCAAGAUUUUCCUGUUCACUAGGGUGUGCUCUUUGCACUGACCACCAGGUGGUGCCAUUGUGCUUUCCCGGUUGUCUUGAAAAUACAAACCCACCUCCUUUUUCUCUUUGUUACAAAGGACGUUGCAGUGUUAAUUUUUGUGAAUACGCCUACAAAUCCACCUGACCCAUGACAUUUCCUAACCACUGGAGCAGAAAAGAGCAGUGAUUCAAAAGCAAACUUUCUUUUGCUCGAGCUGGAACAUCUCAGAGAUGAAACAGCUGGCUUGCGGUUAUACAGAUGCAAUGGAGUAGCGGUCAGGUUCAGAUAUUCCUGUGUGAUUUCAGUCUGACCAGACCCAUUGCUAUAACCUGUUUUGGCCAAUUAGGAUCUCCAUGGAGGGGCGUGAAUUUAAAAUACAAAUGCGAUAGCGGGACGUGUGCGUGUGGGAUUCCGUGGGAGCGGCUCCCCUGAGUAUUUACUGGGGAGCGUGCCGAGGAUGUGUAUCCAGGUUCAGGGAAGUUAAGUCACGCACCUAAGUAAGGCCUCGCAACUUCACAACAACUGAGCCCUCGUUUCUGGCACUGAAGCCCAUGAACAGCCCUCCCCGUCCCCAACACAGACACAUGCAGAAGAUAAGCAGCUGCCAAGCGCCUGGAGGAGUUAGAUUCCUGGAGUCCAAAGCAGCAGCGGUUCAGGGCACCACUCCCUCCUCGAAAGCUUUUUUUCUUCGUUUUGAUUUGUGACGGCGCUUUCCCUGUCUCCUGGUACUUACACUUUGGACUGCUCUGGGGUCAAGUCCUUGGCCCUCUUCUCUUCCUCUGCUAGGAAAUCUAACCAUUUCCCACGGCUUUAAAUGCCAACCACAUGCUUUUUUUUUUUAGGGCCACACCUUCAGCUUCUGGAAGUCCCCAGGCUAGGGGUCACACUGGAGCUGCAGCUUCAGGCCUUCACCACAGCCACAGCAACGCCAGAUCCGAACCGAGUCUGCAGCCUACACCAGAACUUACGACAACUCAAGAUCUUCUCGUCCACUGGGCAAGGCCAGGGACCAAACCUGCGUCCUCAUGGGUGCGAGUCGGAUUCUUAACCCUCUGAGCCACGACAGGAACUCCCCAAUAACCACAUGCUGUGGACACACGAGUGUCCAGUCCAGGUCUCUCCCUGAGUUUCACGCAGACCCAUUUAUCCAGCAGCCCCCCGUGAUGUCAUCACAAACCUGACAUGUCCCAAAUGAAAGUCUUUGAGUUACACCCCACGCCUAUGUGGUGGCCAGUCCUGUUUCCAUCAGCACCUAUGUCACACUGCUGAUGAGGCCCCAAACCUAAGUCCUCCCGAUUCUGUUUGUUCUUCCCACAGCAAUCAGCUCUGUGUUCACAACACACCCCAAGUCUGCUGUUCACCACCGCCCGUACCCCCCCACCCCCGGUCCUUCUGAGGCCAAGCCACCACCAUCUCUAGGCUGGACCAAUGCAGUGGUCCCCGAUUUGCCCCCGCCUCCAUUCUCACCCUCCUCCCGUCUGCUUCCACAGAGACUGUUCCCAUCGUCUUGAAAAUACAGGUCAGGUUAUAGCACCUAUAAAAUGACCCCGUUUCUCAUGACGCAGAGUGAAGUCCACACUCCUGCAGGUUGCAUGUGACGGUUCCCUCUCAGUGGUCAGCGUGGCCCCUGACCCUGCUGUUCUUGACACACACGGAGCUCAUUCCUGCCCCAGGGUCCUUACCUCGGCCGGGAGCACUUCCUCCAAAGGCUUUGCGUGGUUUGUGUGUCCUCGUCCUCCCGGUCUCUCUGCAAACAUCCCUUGUUACCCUCUCACGUCAGCAUGCUUCUCCCUGCCUUGAUUUCCACGGCGCGUAUCAUGCUCAGACCUUGUUUGUUGCCGUUUGCGCUGUUGGAGGGUGUCAGUCCUCGGGGGGCAGAAGCAGUACCUGUGUUGUUUACUGCUGUAGCACCAAAACCAGUGUUUGGCAUAUAAUAAAUAACAAUGGGCCGAUGGAUGGACACCUGCAGCUCUGUCCUUAUGUCCUGCAGGGCAUCUAAGUCCGUGAAACCAACAGAGAAUGUGAGCCAUGUGCGUGACUGAAAAAUUUUUAGUAGCUGCAUUAAAAAAUAAAGAGAAACAGGUGAAAU
ensembl:lncRNA